rnacentral:rRNA from 1 species
CGGCAGGCCUAACACAUGCAAGUCGAGGGGUAACAGGAAAGCUUGCUUUUGCUGACGACCGGCGCACGGGUGCGUAACGCGUAUGCAACCUACCUCAUACAGGAGAAUAGCCCUUGGAAACGAGGAUUAAUACUCCAUGGUAUCAUUCUUUCGCAUGUUAGAAUGAUUAAAGAAUUUCGGUAUGAGAUGGGCAUGCGUCCCAUUAGCUUGUUGGUGAGGUAACGGCUCACCAAGGCAACGAUGGGUAGGGGGCCUGAGAGGGUGGUCCCCCACACUGGUACUGAGACACGGACCAGACUCCUACGGGAGGCAGCAGUGAGGAAUAUUGGUCAAUGGAGGAAACUCUGAACCAGCCAUGCCGCGUGAAGGAUGACGGCCCUAUGGGUUGUAAACUUCUUUUAUAUGGGAAGAAACUUAUCUACGUGUAGAUAACUGACGGUACCAUACGCAUAAGGAUCGGCUAACUCCGUGCCAGCAGCCGCGGUAAUACGGAGGAUCCAAGCGUUAUCCGGAUUCAUUGGGUUUAAAGGGUCCGUAGGCGGAUUUUUAAGUCAGUGGUGAAAGCCGACAGCUCAACUGUCGAACUGCCAUUGAUACUGGAAAUCUUGAGUACAAAUGAAGUAGGCGGAAUGAGUCAUGUAGCGGUGAAAUGCAUAGAUAUGACUCAGAACACCGAUUGCGAAGGCAGCUUACUAACAUGUAACUGACGCUGAGGGACGAAAGCGUGGGGAGCGAACAGGAUUAGAUACCCUGGUAGUCCACGCCGUAAACGAUCAUCACUCGCUGUUGGCGAUAUACUGUCAGCGGCCAGGCGAAAGUAUUAAGUGAUGCACCUGGGGAGUACGCCGGCAACGGUG